AUUGAACGCUGGCGGCAGGCCUAACACAUGCAAGUCGAGCGAGCGGCGGACGGGUGAGUAAUGUCUGGGAAACUGCCUGACGGAGGGGGAUAACUACUGGAAACGGUAGCUAAUAUCGCACACCAUCAGAUGUGCCCCGAUGGGAGUAGCUAGUAGGUGGGGUAAUGGCUCACCCAGGCGACGAUCCCUAGCUGGGCUGAGAGGAUGACCAGCCACACUGGAACUGAGACACGGCCCAGACUCCUACGGGAGGCAGCAGUGGGGAAUAUUGCACAAUGGGAGCAAGCCUGAUACAGCCAUGCCGCGUGUGUGAAGAAGGCCGUCGGGUUGUAAAGCACUUUCAGCGGGGAGGCGUUACCCGCAGAAGAAGCACCGGCUAACUCCGUGCCAGCAGCCGCGGUAAUAC
rnacentral:rRNA from 1 species